rnacentral:lncRNA from 10 species
AUUAUAACAGCCCUUUCCCAGUAAAAUUAACCAGCAAGAAAAGGUCUGGCUUAAGACUGCAGCUCUAGAGUCAAACACAAUCAGCUUUGAAUCUGCCCUCCUCAGCUCAUUUGCUGAUGAUAUCAGGCACAUUAUUUUAAGUCUCAUUUAUCUCAUAUGUAAAAAAAUGGAGAAAAUAAUAAUAUUGAUGUCAAAGGGUUGUUACAAGGAUUACCAGAGAUAAUUUGUGGAAAGCGGCUCCCACAGAAUAUGGCACAUGAAACAUUUCUAUACAUUUAUGAGACCCAACUCCAAAAGCAUACUGGAAUGGAAUUAAAGACCGAACUACAGAAGCUAAAGAGAGCUGAUCAAACUAAAAAAAAAAGUUAAAGGUGAGGAGGCCAAGGCUCAGAAGAGUCACUUGCCCAUGAUCACUGCUCUUAUAGCGCCAACUCAGAGCUCAGGCAAUGCUCAUGUUCUUUCCACUGUGCCUCAUCGCUCAUGUCUGACUCUUCUAGAAAUGUGGGCAAAUCCCCUGCCUUCUGUGGGUCUCAGAUUUCCAUAAAAAAUAAAAUCAAUGGAUCAACUUAAUUAGACAUCUUGAGUCUAAAAUUCUUAGCUCCAAAACAGAGGAUGGUGAUGAGUAUAUGCAAAUGCGGCAAUAUUUCAGCAACACACAUGGGCUUCAGAAUAAAUAUCAAGAUCUUCCUACAUGUUAAUAACACUGAAAUUUUGUUACCCAGAAAAUAUAAUGGGUUUUUCUUAUCUUGAGUUUUUUAGAUUUCUGAAAAUUUUAGUCUUGGAAUUUAUUCCUUGCUUUAUAUCAAAUGUUUCUGUGUCAACUCCUCC